rnacentral:lncRNA from 1 species
CCUUUUUUUUUCCCUUUUUUGGUACUUUUGGUUUUAAUUUUUCUUCCUGUAUAACUGCUUGUCUCAUGCACUCCUAGCUAUUUGGCUGUGUGAUUUACAACCUUGUUCUUCUCUACCAGUUAUCUUCUGGAAAUUAGUUUUCACAAUUGUUACCUCAAUGAAAGUUGUCAUGGAUUGCAGAUUUUUGCCAUCUUAUACAGAAAGUGGAGUAAAUCUUCUAUUUUUACCUCUAAUCAAUUUUAUAUCAUCUAAAAAUUAGCUUUCUUUGUGUGAUUUCUGAACAUAACAUUCUGAGGUUAUACUCUCAACUGGAUAGGUUCAAUUACGACCGAGAAUCCCCAUGUCCUAAGUUGGCGACUUCCAUUGCACUUUGAAAGGCCCCAAGAGGAUCAUGUCAUAUUGAUGCAUAUUUUGUUUAUUCCUUUUAUUUCUUAUUUUUGUUCGUUGUUUUAAACUAGUACAUGAGCAUUUCGUACUCGAUUCUACUUUCUUUAGAUUGUUAUUUUGCCAAAUUUGCUUCGAACUCUUUACUUUGAAAGAGGAGAAUCCUUAGCUACCGCAGUCCGCUCCUCCCACACAUAAUAAUAAACAAUUCUAAGAGAAGUUUGGUUUGUAAUUCUUGACCAUCAAUGUUGGACAAGAAACCUGUCAUCCUGUAACUAUUGUUAUGAACUAUACCUACGGUAGAACUGGAAAUUUGAUAUAAAUUUGCA